rnacentral:rRNA from 1 species
GACGAACGCUGGCGGCGUGCCUAACACAUGCAAGUCGAACGGAGAUAGACUGAAGGUUUACCUGAUUUCUAUCUUAGUGGCGGACGGGUGAGUAACGCGUGAGUAAUCUACCUUGUACUGGGGGAUAACGUCGGGAAACCGGCGCUAAUACCGCAUAAUACUAUGAGAUCGCAUGGUCAUAUAGUCAAAACUCCGGUGGUACAAGAUGAACUCGCGUCCAAUUAGCUAGUUGGUGAGGUAAUGGCCCACCAAGGCGACGAUUGGUAGCCGAACUGAGAGGUUGAUCGGCCACAUUGGGACUGAGACACGGCCCAGACUCCUACGGGAGGCAGCAGUGGGGAAUAUUGCGCAAUGGGGGGAACCCUGACGCAGCAACGCCGCGUGAAGGAUGAAGGUUUUCGGAUUGUAAACUUCUUUGAUCGGGGACGAAAAUGACGGUACCCGAGGAACAAGCCAC